CUGCCCGCCAAGCUCACGGCGCGAUCGACGGCCUCGAGGCCUUCGUCGCUGGCGCGCGUGGGGCACCCGCUGGGGCACGGCGGUGGUGGCGGCCGAGCACAGGGGAGCUCCCCAUCCCAUCCACUGUCUUCCGCUUCGCCUAGCUCGCCCUCCGCUGCUCUGCCCGCGGCCGCGCUCGCCCUCCGCUGCUUUGCCCACUGCUGCGCUCGCCCGCCGCCGCUCCUCCGCCGCGCUCGCAUAUUGUGUGAACUCGAGAACUUGGAGGUCGUCACGGCGGACGACGGCGGCGGUGGCGGUGGCAACACCGUGCAUGGCGACAAGGCUCCCGUUGACGGCAAAGGAGAGGCAGCGACUCCGGCGAAACGCGCCGACGUAUCAGGUGGCCAAGAAUGCGGCGUGGAGGAUGUACAGCGGGUGGAGACGCCAGCUGCAGAGAUCACGAAUGCCAUGAAGGACACGGAGAUCGUGAAGAACAAGGACCAGGAGAGAGGAGGCAGCGAGAGGGAAGAAGAGGAGACCGUCGCCAUGGCCGGCACGGGGAGCAGGGAGGAAGCAUUGCUGGUUCUCUUCGAUACAGCAUGGCAACAGGGGAACCUCCUUACCGGCGGGAGCGGCGGGACGGCGGGUGCGCUUGCACUAACUCGUGGUCGCGGCGGGUCAGGGAGGCAGGCGACGCCGCCGGUCGCUGGGCUGCGGCGGCGGAUGGAGAUUGGAGUCGCGUCGUCGGUAACCGACGGCGGGCGCGGGCGGCGAAGGGCGGCGGAGGAAAAGGGGAGAGAAUGACAUGUGGGGC
rnacentral:lncRNA from 2 species